CGUAAUGUAGCUUAAUUAAAGCAUCUCGCUUACACCGAGAAAAUGUCUGUGAAAAUCGAACCUUUACGA
rnacentral:tRNA from 2 species